GCUUGCAGCGUACUUUGGCGACAGAUCGGUCCUGUUUCAGGAUAAAUUUUUUUAUUUUCUAAGCAUGUAUCAUGUAACUCGCGACAAGGGUUUGGUGGUUAGGGGGAAGGUCUACGCGAGGUCCUGGAGAUUCUCUGUUCUGCGGUUUGAAGAUUGGUUGACGUCUAGGCAACUCUCUCAGCCAAUGCUUCGGGUAUGUGUCCUGGAACAGUGAAUUGGAACCCACGACAGUUUUUAAACGGAAGUGAGAAUGGAGUCUGGUGUUAAUGAUAGGACUAACUUUAUGCUCUAAGUUGCUCUGCAUUGAUGAUUCAAAGAUGUAAUUAGUUGUGACGCUUCAACAGAUAUUAAAUGCACAUUCAAAUAUUACUGUUCUAACCAUCAACAAUAACAGUUGGAAAACUAAGGUUUCUCGCCAUGCUAUCCAAAUUAAAUACCUGAAAAACCUCUUAUGGAGUUUAUCUUGAUGGCCAGAGUUUUAAGAUGCUGCCUGAUAUAAACCUUUUUAUGCCUAAGAAAACCAGAACUAGGCAUACCGUUCAUUAUUGGUAAUAUUUAAGAAAAUAGUGUUUUCUUCUUGAUAUAUAGAACUGGAAUGGUUGAUUCCCUAACAUGAAAGAAGUCAACUUCUGAUAUAAUUUAGAUAUUUAGUCGGAAACUGAAAAUUUAGAUUUGUUUUUAAAAACUAAUCUACAGUUUGUAGCCUUUUGUGUGAAAUAUUGAUUAAAAUUGUCGUAAAAA